rnacentral:rRNA from 1 species
AUUGAACGCUGGCGGCAUGCCUUACACAUGCAAGUCGAACGGUAACGGGCCUUCGGGUGCCGACGAGUGGCGAACGGGUGAGUAAUGUAUCGGAACGUACCUUUCAGUGGGGGAUAACGUAGCGAAAGUUACGCUAAUACCGCAUAUUCUGUGCGCAGGAAAGCAGGGGAUCGCAAGACCUUGCGCUGAUUGAGCGGCCGAUGUCAGAUUAGCUAGUUGGUGAGGUAAAGGCUCACCAAGGCGACGAUCUGUAGCGGGUCUGAGAGGAUGAUCCGCCACACUGGAACUGAGACACGGUCCAGACUCCUACGGGAGGCAGCAGUGGGGAAUUUUGGACAAUGGGGGCAACCCUGAUCCAGCCAUGCCGCGUGAGUGAAGAAGGCCUUCGGGUUGUAAAGCUCUUUCGGCCGGGAAGAAAUCGUAUGGUUAAUACCCUGUGCGGAUGACGGUACCGGCAUAAGAAGCACCGGCUAACUACGUGCCAGCAGCCGAC